rnacentral:rRNA from 1 species
UCCAGACUCCUACGGGAGGCAGCAGUGGGGGAUAUUGCACAAUGGGGGGAACCCUGAUGCAGCGACGCCGCGUGGGUGAAGGAGUAUUUCGGUAUGUAAAGCCCUAUCGGCAGGGAAGAAACCAGACGGUACCUGACUAAGAAGCCCCGGCUAACUACGUGCCAGCAGCCGCGGUAAUACGUAGGGGGCAAGCGUUAUCCGGAUUCACUGGGGGUAAAGGGAGCGUAGACGGCCAUGCAAGCCUGAUGUGAAAGCCCGCGGCCCAACCGCGGGACUGCAUUGGGAACUACCGGGCUGGAGUGCCGGAGAGGUAGGCGGAAUUCCUAGUGUAGCGGUGAAAUGCGUAGAUAUUAGGAGGAACACCAGUGGCGAAGGCGGCCUACUGGACGGUGACUGACGCUGAGGCUCGAAAGCGUGGGGAGCAAACAGGAUUAGAUACCCCUGUAA